rnacentral:lncRNA from 1 species
ACCUGAGUGUGAAUCCCGCCCCUGCCACUUAACCUGAGUGUGAACUUGGGAGCCUGCCCCACCUCUCGGAACCUCAGUUCCUCCAUCUAUGAAAAGGGAACUUACGUGCAGAAAACCAAGUGACUAUGAGGGGGAUGGGGCAGUGUGAGAUGACGGGACCAGAGCACGUUCCUGGCUGCAGAGGCCACAAGUCACGCUGUCUCUGAGAGUGGAAUGUCACCAUCGCCCAGGUGGGGAUUUUUGUGUGUUUUGUUCACUGCUGUACACCCAGCCCCCAGCACAGCGCCUGUCCAGGACAAGUGCCCAGUAAACACUUGGGAAGCAAUGCAAGCGUCCUCCCAGCAGCUCCUGCAAACAGACCCCCGACCCAAGCCCUUCCUUCUGCCUCCACUGCCACCACUGCUGCUCAUCUCUGCUGGCACAGAAGUCUCUUCCCUGGUCUUCCAGAAAUCCCCUCUCCACACUCAGCCAGAGGGAGCUAUUAAAACUGUGGGCCAGCCCACAUCAGUCCACAGCAAAGUCCUCUCUAAGGGAUCUCUGUUGCUUGGAGAAUAAACCCUCGGAUUCCUUCCUUGGCUCUCGGGGCCUCCUCUCUGACCUCCCUCUGUCUCCUCUCCCAGCCUUCCUCCUCACUCACCCUCCAGCCAUGCUGGCUUCCUCCUUGCUCCUGAAACAGCCUGAGGCCCACACUGCCCCGGGCCCUUUGCACUGGCUGUUUCCUCUGCCUGGAACACUUCUCCUAGGCAUCCACAGGGCUCCCUCCCACAACUCCUUCGGGUGCCCACAUGGGAAGCCAUCCCUGACCACCCCCCCGACUUCCUUCUGAGCAAGGUAGGGUCUUUCUACCUAGUCAUGAGGGCAGGGAUUUUUGUCUGUUGUGUUCUCUGUGUGCCCCCAGUGCCAUCCCAGUGCCUGGCAGAUGGUAAGUGCUCGACACACAUUGGCUGACUGCCUGAAUGAACAACUCUAUGAGCCGAUGGCAGAUAAGGACACUGAGGUCCUCUGGGGUAGGUGACCAGCCCAAGGCCACACAGCUGGUCUGAGAUUAGGCCAGGAGAGGAGCCCGGGUUGGUCACAUCCUGGAGUUGGCGUCUUGGAAACUGCAUCAGGAGAAUAACAAAGAUGAGACGCAGGCUCUAACAAGUGGAUACCAGUGACUCUCGCCCCGCCAGCCCCAGCCCUGCAGCCUUGGGCCCUUCCAGGAGUCAUGGUCUGCCUGCCUGGGGCAUUCCAGGCUUCGACCCAGGUCCUGCACUUUCUAUUUUGAGCCUCUUAGUCCUGAGGACUGUGUGUUCCCAGCAGGCGGCGCGGGCCAGAGGCUGAGCCUGGGUGUGGCUGUCACCCUAUCUGGGGCCAGAGACCCAGAUUCCCGGGCCCUUAACCUGUUGGCUGCUGAGGGCUCUGGCAUAAGCCCUGUUCCCUGCUUGAUUGUCUCCCCUUCAAGCCCCUGCCCUGGUAUCGUAUCGGCCCAUCUCACCUUGGAUUAUAUCCCUGUUUGGCCCCAUUUGAAUCCUGGCUCUGCCCCUUUCCAGCAAUGUGACCUUGGGCAAGUCACUUCAUCUCUCUGGGUCUCAGUUUCUUCAUCUGGGAAAUGGGGACAAUAAGAGUACCUGUCUCUGGCCAUGUGUGGUGACUCAUGCCUGUAACCCCAGCGCUUUGGGAAGCCGAGGCGAGAGAAUUGCUUGAGACCAGGAGUUUGAGAUCAGCCCUGGGCAACAUAGUGAGACCCCUGUCUCUACAAAAUUCUAAAAAAAUUAGCCGGGUGUGGUGGUGUGUGCCUGUAGUCCCAGCUAUUCUAGAGGCUGAGGCGGGAGGAUUGCUUGAGCCCAGGAGUUUGAGGCUGCAGUGAGCUAUGAUUAUGCCCCUGCACAUCAGCCUGGGUGAUAGAUUGAGGCCCCAUCUCUAAAAAUAACAAUACUAAUAAUAAAUAAAAAUGAAAAUGAGUACCUGUCUUCUGGGGUUGCAGAGGAGAUUCAAUGUGAUGAAAUUGAUGAGAGUGCCCUGCAGGGAGCCGGAAACUCAGGGAGCAUCGAUAAUGAGUCCCCCACCAUCAGCAGCUGGCUUAAAUAUAAAAACUGUCAUGGCCUCUGGAGAAAUGACAAGAAUUCGAAGGAGCUUCCCUGCACUGGCCACCCUACACCCUACACCCUUACUUCCUCCCCUCAACUUGCCUGGAUUUAUCGACCCCCACUACCCCACUGGUUGCCUUCUCUCCACCUGGCACAUUUCGUAUGAAUUUGCUUGUUGGUUCUUGCCUAUCUCCCCAGUAGAACAUUAGCUCCUUCAGGACAGGGACUUUUGUCUACCUUAUGCACCUAGUGCAAUGCCUGGCACACAGUCGGUGCUUAAUAAAUGUUUCUUAAAAGAACCAAUAAAUGAAUAGUGACCUCUCCGGGGAGAGGAGCCCUGAGCUCACCUCCUGCCCCCAGCCCAGGGCUCUUAGGUGCUUGUUGGUGUCAGGCCCAGGCCCCCCUCUCAUCAAGCAGCCAAUAAAACUGCCCUGGUUGGCGUUCUCAUUUCACAGAUGGAGAGACUGAGCCCAGAGAGGGAGAGUCACCUGUCUGAUGUCACACAGAGGUCAGCAUCUGGGCUGGGAUUCCAGCCCAGGACCAUGUGGGGUGGGGGGCAGUGGAUCAAUCUUUUCCUGGAGGGAGUCAAUGGUGAUGGUGGGAAUGGGUCAGGGGUGCUGGCAAGGAGGGUCCAAGGCCCCCAGGAGGGAGGGAGGCAUGGGAGAUGAGUUUGUCCCUCUUGAGUUCUGUCUCUCUCUGUGUCUCUCUGUUUCUGCCUCUUUCUGUCUCCUUGUAUUUCUCAGUCCCUGUCUUCGUCUAUACCUCUUUCUCUCUUCCUUGUGUAUCUGACCCACUGCCCAGGAGGGGAUGCAGGCAGAGACCCCUGGCUUGGGUCCUGGAGUUGGGGCCCACGAGGGGAUUGACAUCUGGGGUUGAGCUGGGAAUCUGAAGCCAGACCCUGCAGCCAGGGACAGCAUUCCAGUCUCGGCUCCACACUCCAGGGAUAGCCUUGGAACGCCAGGCAGUUCAGAGAGCCUGAGGUCUGGUCUUGGAGACCUGGGUUCCAAUCCCAGCUUUGCCACAUUCCAGCCAUGUGGCCUUGGGCCCUUAGCCUUUGUUCCUGUAAAAUGGGACCACUGAGAGCCCGAUCUCAGGGUUUUAUGAGGAGGAACGAUGAGAGGGCUGUGCUGGGCUUCCUGAAGCCCUGUGUGGCCUGGAAAGCACUCAAUAGAUGAUAACUCAGUGUAAUGAUUUCUUCUAGCAGAUGGGGAAAGCGAGAGUUAAAGAGGCCCGAUCAUUUCACUCACUCAUUCCUCAAACGUUAUUAAGCACCUGCUAUGCACCAGGUGCUUUGUUUUGUAUCCAUUAACUCAGGGUUCAGCAAACUACAGCCUCCAGGCCAAAUCUGGUUCACAGCCUGUUUUUAUAAAUAAAGUUUUAUUGGCACACAGUAUGCCCAUUCAUUUACAUAUUGUCCACAGCUGCCUUUACCCUACAACUGCAAUGUUGAGCAGUUGUGAGAGAGACCUUAAAACCCACAAAGCUGAACAUAUGAACUCUCUGGACAUUUACAGUAAAGUUUGCUAAUCCCUGGAUUAGCCCAUUACAACCCUGGAGGAAGGACAUGUCAUAAGCUUGAUUUUAUGGAUUAGGAACUGAGGUCCGAGCGCAGUGUCUGC